GACGAACGCUGGCGGCGUGCUUAACACAUGCAAGUCGAACGGAAAGGCCCUGCUUUUGUGGGGUGCUCGAGUGGCGAACGGGUGAGUAACACGUGAGUAACCUGCCCUUGACUUUGGGAUAACUUCAGGAAACUGGGGCUAAUACCGGAUAGGAGCUCCUGCUGCAUGGUGGGGGUUGGAAAGUUUCGGCGGUUGGGGAUGGACUCGCGGCUUAUCAGCUUGUUGGUGGGGUAGUGGCUUACCAAGGCUUUGACGGGUAGCCGGCCUGAGAGGGUGACCGGCCACAUUGGGACUGAGAUACGGCCCAGACUCCUACGGGAGGCAGCAGUGGGGAAUAUUGCACAAUGGGCGGAAGCGUGAUGCAGCAACGCCGCGUGCGGGAUGACGGCCUUCGGGUUGUAAACCGCUUUCGCCUGUGACGAAGCGUGAGUGACGGUAAUGGGUAAAGAAGCACCGGCUAACUACGUG
rnacentral:rRNA from 1 species